CAGGUUCAGGUAAGUCAAGCACGAGGUCAUCGAGGAAGUAUUUGAAUGUGAUUUUACUAUGAAAAAAUGUGAUCUCCAGUGUCUCAUUGACAUGGCAAAAGAAGUAGGAAUGAUGCCUGGAGGAUUGGAGUAAAUUCAAAACGCUCAGUUUUCUAAGGAUUAAAUGAAGUUUUGGAAAAACCUCAGUAAAAUUAACCUUCACCUGACAGACAUGUCCUUGAUUUGAAGCCCAGGGCAAUGGAAAAGAGAAACAAACUCAAAAGUGUGACAGCCUUACCCACUGCCUUUCCUUUUGUUGGGGGUUGACUGGGUGGUGGUAUUUAAUCACUAAGCUGUGUCUGACUCUUGGCGACCCCACAGACUAUUGCUUGCCAGGCUUCUCUGUCCAUGGGAUUUCCCAGGCAAGAAUACUGGAGUGGGUUGCCAUUUCCUUCUCCAGGGGAUCUUCCCAACUCAGGGGUUGAACCUGUGCCUUCUGCAUUGCCAGGUGGAUUCUUUACCACUGAGCCACCAGAGAAGCCCUGUGUGUAGAGGGUCAGAUUUUCCCCUCAGUGUUCUCUUUCAGCAGCUCCAUAGUGAGCUUUGUGAUUCUGACAAAGGCUACAAUUAUACCCACUUUGAAAUACAUUUACAAAUAUUCUGUGUGCUGGUGCAACUGGCAUGAAACACAGACAGCUCUCCCCGUUUCAGAUGACUACAAGCGGAAUUACCAGAAACAGUAGUAAAUUCCUGGCAUUGGAAGUUACCAUGAUCCCAGCUGGCAUGCAAAAAAAAAAAAAAAAAAGCCUGUUUCUUUUUUCCCCUGAAAAUAAUGUUCUUCCCAGGCACUGUUCAAAUGCCUCAAAUGAGGCAAAUGAGAGAUUUGUUUUGACCGACCAAUGAAAAGAUUUCCCUCAUCUCAGCUAAGGCCCUGAAAUGAGGCAAACGAGAGAUUUGUUUUGACUGACCAAUGAAAAGACUUCCCUCAUCUCAGCUAAGGCCCUGAGAUUUAGUUCCAAUAAACACAAAAUGUUUGUGUCUCA
rnacentral:lncRNA from 1 species